UACGUAGGGGGCAAGCGUUGUCCGGAAUCAUUGGGCGUAAAGCGCGUGUAGGCGGCCAGGUAAGUCCGUUCUGAAAGCCCGGGGCUCAACCCCGGGAGGCGGAUGGAUACUGCUUGGCUCGAGUCCGGAAGAGGCGAGUGGAAUUCCCGGUGUAGCGGUGAAAUGCGCAGAGAUCGGGAGGAACACCCCUAGCGAAGGCGGCACUCUGGGCCGGUACCGACGCUGAGGAGCCAAAGCGUGGGGAGCAAACAGG
rnacentral:rRNA from 1 species